rnacentral:rRNA from 2 species
GGACGAACGCUGGCGGCGUGCUUAACACAUGCAAGUCGAGCGGUAAGGCCCUUCGGGGUACACGAGCGGCGAACGGGUGAGUAACACGUGGGUGAUCUGCCUCGUACUCUGGGAUAAGCCUGGGAAACUGGGUCUAAUACCGGAUAUGACCAUUGGUCGCAUGGCUGGUGGUGGAAAGAUUUAUCGGUGCGAGAUGGGCCCGCGGCCUAUCAGCUUGUUGGUGGGGUAACGGCCUACCAAGGCGACGACGGGUAGCCGACCUGAGAGGGUGAUCGGCCACACUGGGACUGAGACACGGCCCAGACUCCUACGGGAGGCAGCAGUGGGGAAUAUUGCACAAUGGGCGGAAGCCUGAUGCAGCGACGCCGCGUGCGGGAUGACGGCCUUCGGGUUGUAAACCGCUUUCGACAGGGACGAAGCGYRAGUGACGGUACCUGUAGAAGAAGCACCGGCCAACUACGU